rnacentral:rRNA from 1 species
ACGCUUCUUUUCCCACCGGAGCUUGCUCCACCGGGAAAAGAGGAGUGGCGAACGGGUGAGUAACACGUGGGUAACCUGCCCAUCAGAAGGGGAUAACACUUGGAAACAGGUGCUAAUACCGUAUAACAAUCGAAACCGCAUGGUUUCGUUUUGAAAGGCGCUUUACGGUGCCGCUGAUGGAUGGACCCGCGGUGCAUUAGCUAGUUGGUGAGGUAACGGCUCACCAAGGCCACGAUGCAUAGCCGACCUGAGAGGGUGAUCGGCCACAUUGGGACUGAGACACGGCCCAAACUCCUACGGGAGGCAGCAGUAGGGAAUCUUCGGCAAUGGACGAAAGUCUGACCGAGCAACGCCGCGUGAGUGAAGAAGGUUUUCGGAUCGUAAAACUCUGUUGUUAGAGAAGAACAAGGAUGAGAGUAACUGUUCAUCCCUUGACGGUAUCUAACCAGAAAGCCACGGCUAACUACGUGCCAGCAGCCGCGGUAAUACGUAGGUGGCAAGCGUUGUCCGGAUUUAUUGGGCGUAAAGCGAGCGCAGGCGGUUUCUUAAGUCUGAUGUGAAAGCCCCCGGCUCAACCGGGGAGGGUCAUUGGAAACUGGGAGACUUGAGUGCAGAAGAGGAGAGUGGAAUUCCAUGUGUAGCGGUGAAAUGCGUAGAUAUAUGGAGGAACACCAGUGGCGAAGGCGGCUCUCUGGUCUGUACUGACGCUGAGGCUCGAAAGC